CCCUCCCUCCCAGACCCUUCCACCUCCUGGACAGCAUCCAUUUUGAAGCUGCAUUGUUAGUGAGCUGUCCAGGAGGUGGGAGGGUCUGGGAGGGAGGG
rnacentral:miRNA from 1 species